rnacentral:rRNA from 1 species
AACGAACGCUGGCGGCAUGCCUAACACAUGCAAGUCGAACGAGACCUUCGGGUCUAGUGGCGCACGGGUGCGUAACGCGUGGGAACCUGCCCUUAGGUUCGGAAUAACUCCCCGAAAGGGGUGCUAAUACCGGAUAAUGUCUUCGGACCAAAGAUUUAUCGCCUUUGGAUGGGCCCGCGUUGGAUUAGCUAGUUGGUAGGGUAAAAGCCUACCAAGGCGACGAUCCAUAGCUGGUCUGAGAGGAUGAUCAGCCACACUGGGACUGAGACACGGCCCAGACUCCCGCGGGGGGCAGCAGGGGGGAAAAUGGGAAAAGGGGCAAAAGCCUGACCCACAAUGGCCGGGGGGGUGAUGAAGGCCUUGGGUUUUUAAAGCGCUUUUCCCCGGGAUGACAUGACCGUAACGGGUAAAAAAAGCCCCGCUAACCCCCGG